GCCAGGUGCAGUGGUGCACACCUGUAAUCCCAGCACCUCGGGAGGCUGAGGCAGGAGGUUUGCAAGUUCAAAACCAGCCUUAGCAAGUUAGUGAGGCCCUAAGCAACUUAGCAAGACCCUGUCUCAA
rnacentral:sRNA from 1 species